AUACUUUUCUCGGCCUUUUGGCUAAUAUUAAGUGUAGUAUUUCUUCGUAUCAAUUUAAUAUAUGAUAUGUGGACUAUAUGUUCACUUUAAUAUUAAAUUUAUUUAUUAUAGGUAUGAAAUAUAAUUACGUGCCAUCGUAACGCACGGGUACUGUACUAGUA
rnacentral:snRNA from 1 species